rnacentral:rRNA from 1 species
AUUGAACGCUGGCGGCAGGCCUAACACAUGCAAGUCGAGCGGAUGAAGGGAGCUUGCUCCUGGAUUCAGCGGCGGACGGGUGAGUAAUGCCUAGGAAUCUGCCUGGUAGUGGGGGAUAACGUCCGGAAACGGGCGCUAAUACCGCAUACGUCCUGAGGGUGAAAGUGGGGGAUCUUCGGACCUCACGCUAUCAGAUGAGCCUAGGUCGGAUUAGCUAGUUGGUGGGGUAAAGGCCUACCAAGGCGACGAUCCGUAACUGGUCUGAGAGGAUGAUCAGUCACACUGGAACUGAGACACGGUCCAGACUCCUACGGGAGGCAGCAGUGGGGAAUAUUGGACAAUGGGCGAAAGCCUGAUCCAGCCAUGCCGCGUGUGUGAAGAAGGUCUUCGGAUUGUAAAGCACUUUAAGUUGGGAGGAAGGACAGUAAGUUAAUACCUUGCUGUUUUGACGUUACCAACAGAGUAAGCACCGGCUAACUUCGUG